AUGGGCACACCUUCUGAGACGGAGUCUUCCGUUCUAGGUCUUAUAAGAAUUAAUCACUUGGAAUCUUUAAUGGAGGUCCAUUCGGCCACCCAGCCUACUACAAGCAGCUCUUUGUGCGCUGAAUUUGGCCUGGCUUCAUUUAGUAGACACACUGAGUUGAUUCUUUCGAAGAAAUCUUGAUGAUAUAUUUGCAGCCAACACAGUAGAGAAUGUGUAAUGCAUUCGAAUGCUAAAAGGAUGGAAAAAUGCCAAGGUGUUGAUAUCCUCAAGGGUCAAGAAAAUGGUGCUCUACAAGCUGAAAUGAUGGACCAGAAACAGAAACAGUCUUGAAUAUGUACAGUGUUUUUCAAUGCUUUAGGAGCUGAAGGAAAAUAAAGAAUGAAUCAAAAUAUUCAAUUUCAAAACUUGAGGGCUUUCAAAAGUAAAACAAAAUAUAAAUGCAUUUUUACUAACAUUACACUAAUAUUUAGACAAAGCAAUUUGGGUAGUACAUCAUGUGGAUCCAGACAUGUUUCAGAGUCUAUUUUUAAGCCGCAAAUAUAUUCGGUGUGGUCUACUGGCAGCACAUUGGGCUUUCAUACUUCAGAACGACUUUAACAGACAAAGUAGGUGCUGAUACAUGAUUAAGCAAGUGUGGAUUUCAGAUCCUGAUGUACUUAGAAUUACGAGAAAGAAAUGAACCCACUGGAGUUAUAUGACUUUCAGCAUGAGUAGCUGCUAAAAUAAGAUGCUGUGCAUAUUAUUACUGCACUAUCGUGGCAUGGAGUAUAAGUGGAACCCAAACAUGGAUUUUGUUGGGCAUAUUUUGUGAGAAUUGUAUGUUGUAUAAUUGGUGGCAUCAUGGCAGAGCUUGUAGCCUUGCAGACUGAUAACUCUGGUUAAUUUUUUUUACGUCUUUUCUCGGGUUCACCCCGUGUCCAUGGCUAUCUAGAGUAUAUUUUCACCUCUCAGCCAAUAUUCCCAGGAUAGGAUAUAGGUCCACAGUGGCCCUAACCAGGAGAAAGUGGUUUCUGACUACAUGUGGUGGGACCUAUCCUAAUGAGGAAAAGCAUGUAACACUAUAUUUAGAUAGUCUACCACACAUUUAGAAAAUAUCAAUAUCCUCCCAGGUGACUGUUAUUAACCAGCCUAUCAUUAAUAACCAAUAUUUCAACAGUUUAUUUUGUUGAUCAUCUGUACACACUCUAUAAACUGUCCUUUUUUCCUUUCACCUAAUUUGGAUGGCCCUAAUCUUUCAGCUUCUCUUUAUAAAGUCUUAAAUUGUUCUUAUCCCAAUCACAACUGAAUUCAGUGACAUUUACUAAAUAAACGUUAGUAA